UUGACCUCGAAUCAGGUAGGAAUACCCGCUGAACUUAAGCAUAUCAAUAAGCGGAGGAAAAGAAACCAACCGGGAUUACCUCAGUAACGGCGAGUGAAGCGGUAACAGCUCAAAUUUGAAAUCUGGCUCCUCUGGAGUCCGAAUUGUAAUUUGUAGAAGAUGCUUUGGGUUGUGGGUUCGGCCUAAGUUCCUUGGAACAGGACGUCAUAGAGGGUGAGAAUCCCGUAUGUGGCCGAGGCCCGCGCCUAUGUAAAGCUCUUUCGACGAGUCGAGUUGUUUGGGAAUGCAGCUCAAAAUGGGUGGUAAAUUUCAUCUAAAGCUAAAUAUGGGCCAGAGACCGAUAGCGCACAAGUAGAGUGAUCGAAAGAUGAAAAGCACUUUGGAAAGAGAGUUAAACAGUACGUGAAAUUGUUGAAAGGGAAGCGCUUGCACCCAGACUUGGGCGCUGCCGAUCACCUUGAGGUCUCCUCGAGUGCACUCGACAGUGCACAGGCCAGCAUCGGUUCGGGUGGCUGGAUAAAGGCCGUAGGAACGUAGCUCUCUUCGGGGAGUGUUAUAGCCUACGGUGCCAUGCAGCCCAGCCGGACCGAGGACCGCGCCUACGGGCUAGGAUGCUGGCGUAAUGGGUGUAAGCGACCCGUCUUGAAACACGGACCAAGGAGUCUAACAUCUAUGCGAGUGUUUGGGUGGUAAACCCAUACGCGGAAUGAAAGUGAACGUAGGUGAGAACCCCCUUUGGGGGCGCAUCAUCGACCGAUCCUGAUGUCUUCGGAUGGAUUUGAGUAAGAGCAUAGCUGUUGGGACCCGAAAGAUGGUGAACUAUGCCUGAAUAGGGUGAAGCCAGAGGAAACUCUGGUGGAGGCUCGCAGCGGGUUCUGACGUGCAAAUCGAUCGUCAAAUUUGGGCAUAGGGGCGAAAGACUAAUCGAACCAUCUAGUAGCUGGUUCCUGCCGAGUUCU
rnacentral:rRNA from 1 species